rnacentral:lncRNA from 1 species
UUGUUGAUGAUCCUUGAACUCGAGCGACUCUAAAUAGCAAGUCUCACACUCCGGAUGAUCUAACAAAACAAACAAUUCACACAUAAGCAUAACCAUAGCACAACUUACAAUAACAGCAAGGAAAACUAAUAACACUAAAACAAUGAAUAGCACAAACAAAGGAAAGAAAAGAAAACAAACAAAAAGAAAAAGAAAAGCAAUUAACCUAAAAUAACUAAAACAUAUUCAAAAACCUUAAUUUAUAAUGUACUUUAAAUCACCAAACUAAACAGGGUGAUAAAACUAUGUAAUAUGAAUCAGUAGCAAAAAGAAUCACUCAAAAACAUGUUUUUAAACUCAAGUUAUUCAAAUUCUAAUGAUUUGAGAAAAAACAAAUGAAUUCAAUUUUUAAAUAUUUCAAACUUGAAAACGAAAACUACACACAUAAACUACAUGCUAUUUUUAAGCUACUGCAAAAAGAAUCAAAUAAAAAUACUUGAAAACCUAAAAGAUAUUCAAGUUCUAAGAUUAGGAUCUAUUGUGACUCGAGAAAUAGAAACAGAAAAUAAAAGAAAACCUAAUCUACGAACAGGCUACGUGGGAGAGUCCUAGUGGCUAGUGGUGUGCAUGCGUUAGCUAAACGAGCGAGCGGCCGCGGAAAUAAAAAAACUGUUCGGUUGUUUAGUUAAUCUAAUCUGGAUCGUUGGAUCUAGAUCCAAUGGUUGAGGAGGGGUUGGGUGCUCACAGCGACGGUGGGUGGCGCUUCGCUAAAAUCGACGACGGUCAAAGCGUGAAGGUGGCCGGGACGGUGCCGUAGUGGUCGUCUGUAGCGGCGGAGGUGUCCAGGCGAUGGUGACGAUCCUCCAGCGUCAUUUGGCGGCAUCAACGGGACUCAGGGGUGACGGUGCGGAGCGACACGAGAUCAAAGAGCUCCGAUUGGAGGCAGCGCUCCGGCGAGGUGGCAAUGCGGCGUUCUGGCCAGAGGCUCUCGAGGGUUUGGGGUGGAACGAAGUGCGGGGGAGGCGGGGUACUUAUAGACGGCCUCAGGGUCAAAGAAUAGGCAAGGGAGAGGGAGAUCGACGCGGAUCCGUGGCAAGCUCCGGCGAAGGAAAUAGGAGGGAGAUAGGGAAGAUGACGACCGACG